rnacentral:rRNA from 1 species
AGUGAACGCUGGCGGUAGGCCUAACACAUGCAAGUCGAACGGCAGCACAGUAAGAGCUUGCUCUUACGGGUGGCGAGUGGCGGACGGGUGAGGAAUACAUCGGAAUCUACUUUUUCGUGGGGGAUAACGUAGGGAAACUUACGCUAAUACCGCAUACGACCUACGGGUGAAAGCAGGGGAUCUUCGGACCUUGCGCGAUUGAAUGAGCCGAUGUCGGAUUAGCUAGUUGGCGGGGUAAAGGCCCACCAAGGCGACGAUCCGUAGCUGGUCUGAGAGGAUGAACAGGCAAAAUGGAAACGGGACAAGGGCCAGAAUCCUAAGGGAGGGAGGAGUGGGGAAUAAUUGAAAAUGGGCGGAAGGCUGAUCCAGGCAUAACGGGUGGGUGAAGAAGGGCUUCGGGGUGGAAAACCCCUUUGGUGGGAAAGAAAAGGAGGAGGUUAAAAACCCGCUGGUCUGAAGGGAACCAAAGAAUAAGCAACGGCCAACUUCGUG